UUGCAUGUGGAAAACACUAUGAUAUGUGCCUAGAGUGUACAAACAGUCCUCGUCAACAUACCUGGUAGCGAGGAUCUCCCGAGUUUGCAAUCUUUGCAAAAUCUUGUUUUGUCGCUCACCGGGCUUUCCUCUACGAAGAGUGAUGUUGUUAAACUCCAUUCCGGCAAUUAAUGGUGGUUGUAGAGAAAAAUGAGUAUUUAUAGAAAAGAAAAGAGAAAAUGGAAUUUAAUGGGUUUUUGGUGGAGAGUUGGAGAAGUGAAAUUGGAGAAUUGUAAUGACUUGUAGUGAAAAUGAGAAGCUUG
rnacentral:lncRNA from 1 species